rnacentral:rRNA from 1 species
AGAGUUUGAUCCUGGCUCAGAAUGAAUGCUGGCGGCAUGGAUUAGGCAUGCAAGUUGAACGAGAAAUUCACUUCGGUGAAUGGAAAGUGGCGAAAGGGUGAGUAACGCGUGAAUAAUCUGCCCCUAAGUUUGGAACAACAGUUGGAAACGACUGCUAAUACCGGAUGUGACUAUUGAGACGCAUGUUUCAAUAUUUAAAGGUUACGCUUAGGGAUGAGUUCGCGUGCCAUUAUGCUAGUUGGUAAGGUAACGGCUUACCAAGGCUAUGACGGCUAGGUGGUCUGAGAGGACGAUCACCCACACUGGGACUGAGACACUGCCCAGACUCCUACGGGAGGCUGCAGUCGAGAAUCUUCCGCAAUGCGCGAAAGCGUGACGGAGCAAUGCCGCGUGAUCGAAGACGGCCUUCGGGUUGUAAAGAUCUGUCAGGGGGGAAAAACGAUGAUGGUACCCCCAGAGGAAGCCACGGCUAACUACGUGCCAGCAGCCGCGGUAAUACGUAGGUGGCGAGCAUUAUUCGGAAUUACUGGGCGUAAAGGGUCCGCAGGUGGUUUACUAAGUCAGAUGUGAAAUUUCAGUGCUUAACACUGAACCUGCAUUUGAAACUGGUAGACUAGAGUAUGUGAGAGGUAAGCGGAAUUUGUGGUGUAGCGGUGGAAUGCGUAGAUAUCACAAGGAAGACCAAAGGCGAAGGCAGCUUACUGGCACAAUACUGACACUCAUGGACGAAGGCUAAGGUAGCGAAAAGGAUUAGAUACCCUUGUAGUCUUAGCAGUAAACGUUGUACACUCGAUGUUGGUCUGGUUAGUCGGAUCAGUGUCUAAGCUAACGCGAUAAGUGUACCGCCUGGGAAGUACGGUCGCAAGACUAAAACUCAAAGGAAUUGACGGGGGCCCGCACAA